GUAAUAGCAUUGCCAGUAGAAUUUUGAGGAAUCAUCCAGGGGAAGGCAGAAGAAGAAGACUGGGGAUUUGUCGACACACACCCCGGAUUAACUGAGGGGCAAGGUCUGAUUUUUCUGCAAUAGCAGGCGACAUGCAUAAACCAUAAGCCAAUGGAAGAAGUAAACCUUAAUUAAUUCAGCAGCCUGCCUUUAGAUAAUUGUCUCAAUUCUAUAUAUGCAAGAGAACAGAAUGGUUGUACUUUUGGAAGCUAAAUUAGCAACAUUAAUUAUAUCCCCAAGUAGGCAAGGAGUGCAUCGCAUAUUUUACUUAUGGAGUUAAAUUAACACGACGGUCCCUAAUACAGUAUCUAAAACUACAAAAAAUCAGAUUCAAAUAACAAUUGGAAUUACGAAAUAACACUAUAGACAUUAAGGGACUAGGUGAAUUCCAAAAAAUCUAUACCUUGUCUAUUGAAGUGACUUUGUGACAGUAGCAUAUUUGAGGAUGAGUACAUGAGGUACCUGCUACAAACUACUAGUACCAAUACUUGGUAAACAUUCUUAGCCGAGGAGGUUCGCAACUAGACUAUCUUCCUGCAAUAGGCUUCAGCAUUUAUAGAUUCUACUCCUUCAACGUAACGGAAUAAUGGAUCAUGCGUGUGUUAAGCUGCCGACAAUGACAAAAUUUUACCUCUAGCAGUUGACAAAAUUAACUUAGCUGUGCCUCCUUAUUGAAUUGUGAACGACCACAUCAAAAAACUUGAACUGUUAAGGAGGGACAGAUUUCUAUAGGAGUGUCAAUUUGAGCCCAAACCCAUUCAACCCGCCAAGAGAUUAAUGGGUUGAGCUACAACAUUUAACUCAUGGGUCUAUUUGGACUGCGCCCAAGUUAACCCAUUAUUUUUUAUAGCUCAUUCUGACACAUGAAGUAGCCCAAAUACAACCCAUGAAGCAAAAAAAUUUUUUACUGUAUUUUCAAUUUUCUGUUUUUUCGUUUUCCUGCACCACCCACCCCAACCCCCUGCAUAAAAAAAAAUUUACUGUAUUUUCAAUUUUCUGUUUCUUCGCCCUAGCAUGUUGAGAUUAUUUAUGAAGUGGUAAUUGUGAAACCUGCACCAUCUCUAACUUAUCUAAUAUCAUUUUGAAUUGUGCGACAAUCUUAUCUAAAAAUUUAAACAGUUAGGAAAUAUAAAAUUUAUAUUUACUUGUCUCCAGCACGUCUCCUCACGUGGGACUAGCAUAUGGAAAUUCAUUGUGAUAGACGGUCGAGGUGAGACCUGUACUCAGAACCUUAGUAUGCUUUGAUAUGCAUGUUGAAUUAUGUGAGUAAUGUGACUAUCUUACCUAAAAGAUUUAAACUUUAAGAUAGAUGGUCGUACAAUUCAACACAGUAGCUUUAAUUACCAUGAGUUACACAAACAACUCCGACUCGGACUCUGCAAUGAGAGAGAUUUAAGUGCCCAUUUGACUUUCCUCAAAGUGCAAAACAGAUAAUUAACAACAUUAUUAUAAACUUGAUUAGGAUAGCUAAAAUGAGGAAAUAGAGAGCGCAGAAAAUUACCCAUUUUCGAGUCCAGUGGGCAAGUUCUUGGAUUGUGAGAAUGGGGUUGUGGGAACGAGCGAAGAAGAUUUGGAGUCGAGAAAAGGUAUCGCCGAAGAAGACAAGGGAGUGACCAGCGAAACAGCAACUGCUAAAGGGAGUACCUUGGACCAAAAAUAUGGUACUGUUGCUAC
rnacentral:lncRNA from 1 species